UACGUAGGGGGCGAGCGUUGUCCGGAAUCAUUGGGCGUAAAGCGCGUGUAGGCGGUUCGGUAAGUCUGCUGUGAAAGUCCAGGGCUCAACCCUGGGAUGCCGGUGGAUACUGCCGAACUAGAGUGCGGAAGAGGCGAGUGGAAUUCCCGGUGUAGCGGUGAAAUGCGUAGAGAUCGGGAAGAACAUCGGUGGCGAAAGCGCUCUACUGGACGGUGACUGACACUCAGGGACGAAAGCUAGGGGAGCGAAUGGG
rnacentral:rRNA from 1 species